ACUGCCUUAGCUCAGUCGGUAGAGCGUUUGUGUACAAAUCGGGAGGACGUGGGUUCAACUCCCGCCGGCAUUC
rnacentral:tRNA from 1 species